rnacentral:rRNA from 1 species
UUGAACGCUGGCGGCAUGCUUUACACAUGCACGUCGAACGGCAGCGCGGGCUUCGGCCUGGCGGCGAGUGGCGAACGGGUGAGUAAUGCAUCGGAACGUGCCCAGUAGUGGGGGAUAGCCCGGCGAAAGCCGGAUUAAUACCGCAUACGACCUGAGGGUGAAAGCGGGGGACCGAAAGGCCUCGCGCUAUUGGAGCGGCCGAUGUCGGAUUAGCUAGUUGGUGGGGUAAAGGCUUACCAAGGCGACGAUCCGUAGCUGGUCUGAGAGGACGACCAGCCACACUGGGACUGGGACACGGCCCAGACUCCUACGGGAGGCAGCAGUGGGGAAUUUUGGACAAUGGGGGCAACCCUGAUCCAGCCAUGCCGCGUGCGGGAAGAAGGCCUUCGGGUUGUAAACCGCUUUUGUUCGGGAAGAAAUCCUCUGGGCUAAUACCCCGGGGGGAUGACGGUACCGGAAGAAUAAGCACCGGCUAACUACGUG